CCUACGGGUGGCAGCAGUGGGGAAUAUUGCACAAUGGGCGCAAGCCUGAUGCAGCCAUGCCGCGUGUGUGAAGAAGGCCUUCGGGUUGUAAAGCACUUUCAGCGGGGAGGAAGGCGUUAAGGUUAAUAACCUUGGCGAUUGACGUUACCCGCAGAAGAAGCACCGGCUAACUCCGUGCCAGCAGCCGCGGUAAUGCGGAGGGUGCAAGCGUUAAUCGGAAUUACUGGGCGUAAAGCGCACGCAGGCGGUCUGUCAAGUCGGAUGUGAAAUCCCCGGGCUCAACCUGGGAACUGCAUUCGAAACUGGCAGGCUAGAGUCUUGUAGAGGGGGGUAGAAUUCCAGGUGUAGCGGUGAAAUGCGUAGAGAUCUGGAGGAAUACCGGUGGCGAAGGCGGCCCCCUGGACAAAGACUGACGCUCAGGUGCGAAAGCGUGGGGAGCAAACAGGAUUAGAUACCCGAGUAGUC
rnacentral:rRNA from 1 species